GGCCGAGCGUCCGCGCGCCUCCGAGGUUGGAGGACCGGAAGUGACCAUUCUUGCUUCCUCAGACGCUGAAGACCUUGCAAGUGAGGCCUCAAGAGGGUGGCUAGACCAGUUGUGGAAACAGCCAGUCUGAACGACCCCCACCACUACCCGAGGCUACGCUGGAGAAGUUGCCGCCCUCUUUCCCGGUCCCUCAGCUCCGUUGACGGCCCAGCCUCCAGACACAGACGCUCAGAGUGUGCGUCCAGGGUCAGCUACCCCAUGGGCCGACGCCCCAUGAUAAUGCUGUUACACUGCGUGUUACUGGUUCGUUUGCGCCUCUGUCUUUCUAAUAGAUUGAGCUCCCUGACGGCAGGGACAAUAUAUAUAUUGUUUGUUUGUUUGUUUGCCUUUGCCCUUUCCUUUUAAACGUCUAGCACGCAUAAUAUAAGACAGGAAUCGGGUAUGAGGAGAUCGAAUACCCACCAAUAAGGAGAUUCAGAGUGGGAGUUAAUAUGGGAGCAAAGAUGAUAUCCUUCCAUCUGGACAGACUACAGAGACUAGAGAGUAUAACAUAACACCAAGAGCUACCAUUUACCUAAAGCUUACUAGGUGUUGGAUACUGUGUGUGAAUUGUCUCAUCUAAUGCAUCUCUGUGAGUUCUCCAACCAGGGAUCGAACCUGUGGCCCCUGCAGUGGAAGCACGGAGUCUUAACCACUGGACUGCCAGGGAAGUCCCCACAGAGAGGAGCCAGAUGGAUGCAGAGUCAGGGUCAAGAAGCAGGAUAGAGACAGCCAGAGGACACAGCCACUGAGACGGUCCCCGAGGACAUCUGGUGACAGAAGCAGACACAGAAGAGGAUGGCGAGACAGAGGCCCAGGGUCAGGUCUGGGGUGAUAGCUGAAAUUCUGCAUUUCCAUCAAGCUCCCAGGGGAAGCUGAUGUUGCUGGUGCCUGGACCACACUUCAAGCAGCAAGGCUGUAGAAUUUUUACUACUAAUAUGAAAAGACAUUACCAAAAUAUGAUAAAAUGAAGAAUAGCGUGCUACAAACAAUAUGAUGCCGUUUUUAUAAGAGAUAAGAUAUGCGUGCAUAGAAAACAUAUCUAGAAGAAUAUAAAACAAAAUAUUAAUAGAGGUUUUCUCUGGGUGACACGGUUGGGUGAUUUUUAUUUUAUUCUUUAUGUUAGUUCGUAUUUUCUACAAUGGAUAUAUGGUCAUCUCUCGGUAUAUGCCAGGCACUGGUUCCAGGACCCCCCGAAGAUGCUCAAGUCCCGUAUAUAAAAGCCCCGUAGGGGCUUCCCUGGUGGUCCAGUGGUUAAGACUUCACCCUCCCAGUGCAGGGCCCCAGGUUCUAUCCCUGGUCAGGGAACUAUCCCGCAUGCCUCCGCUGAGAGCCCCCAUGCUGCAACUAAAAGAUCCCGCAUGGGGCAAUGAAGAUCCCACGUGCCGCAACUAAGACCUGGCUCAUGCCGCCAAAUAAAUAAAAUAAAUAAAUGAAUAUUUUAAAAAAUAAAAUAAAAUAAAAUGGCAUAGUAUUUGCAUAUAACCUAUGCACAUCCUCCCAUAUACUUUAAAUUAUCUCUAGAUUACUUACAAUACCUAAUACAAUGUAAACGCUAUGUAAAUAGUUGUCAGUAUGCAGCAAAUCCAAGUUUGCUUUUUGGAACUUUCUGGAAUUUUUUUUUACUGAAUAUUUUCAAUCCGUGGUUAUUUGAAUCCUUGGAUUCAGAACCCUCAGAUGCGGAGGGCUGACUGUAUACUGUUUAAUUAAAACAGAGUGACUGUUUAUACCCCUAGGCCACACCCUGAAUGUAAGAGGUGAGUCUCAAUGGAAGGGAAAGCAUUGCU